rnacentral:pre_miRNA from 1 species
AGUGGAAUUGCUGGGUCAUAAGUAUAAAUUUAUUUUAAUUUGUAAGGAAUUUGGAAACCACUUUCAAAGUAGCUGUACUAUUGUACAUUCCCACUAGCAGU